UAUACAAUAGCCACACUUAUAUAUCUAAACUUUUAAUCAUCUCGUAAGGGUUCCCACCUCUUACCAUACCUGUUCUUGGUUUCAAUUUGAGAAGAUCGACUUUGUGAAUCCCUUUUAUCUAUGAGAUUAGCGUUAGUUCUUAAACGUGCAUGUGUAAUUUUCUGUUCCCUCCGUACCGGAGAUGAUCUAGGUUAAUUUCUGAAUUGUUCAAUUAGGAGAGUUUUAGAUCUGCAGAUUUGAGUUCAAGUGAAGCAGAUUUGAGGCUUGGUUCUAAUUGCAGGCCACGGGGAUUGGAAUUUCCUAUGAUCCCUCCUCAUAUUACGACCGGAAAAGCCUGGUGCAAGACGUUGCUGAUUGGUAUAGAACCGGAGCUGCAACGAACAACUGGAAUGAGUGACCAAAGCUAUUAUUACUGGUGUCGAAAUGACUGGAAUGAGUGACAGAGUUUGUGUUGACCUUUGCAGCCUCAUGAAACCUGGUUGGAUCUUUUGCUAGAGGAUUAUUUCUUGUUCACUCACAGUCAAACUACAUUGCUACCAGGCCUUUCGCAGUUAACACUUCCCGUCCAUGCCUAUAUGGCGAUUUCAGGAGAACCUUCAGUCGCCGAAAUUUGUCUAGUAGUGGUAUGCGAGGUAGCUCAGGCAGCUACUUAUGUUGUCGGCGAUGACAAUGGCUGGACGUUUAACUAUCUAUGACAAGUUU
rnacentral:lncRNA from 1 species